AUUGAACGCUGGCGGCAUGCCUUACACAUGCAAGUCGAACGGCAGCACGGGAGCAAUCCUGGUGGCGAGUGGCGAACGGGUGAGUAAUAUAUCGGAACGUGCCCAGUAGUGGGGGAUAGCCCGGCGAAAGCCGGAUUAAUACCGCAUACGACCUGAGGGUGAAAGCGGGGGAUCGCAAGACCUCGCGCUAUUGGAGCGGCCGAUAUCAGAUUAGCUAGUUGGUGGGGUAAAGGCCUACCAAGGCUACGAUCUGUAGUUGGUCUGAGAGGACGACCAGCCACACUGGGACUGAGACACGGCCCAGACUCCUACGGGAGGCAGCAGUGGGGAAUUUUGGACAAUGGGCGCAAGCCUGAUCCAGCAAUGCCGCGUGCAGGAAGAAGGCCUUCGGGUUGUAAACUGCUUUUGUCUAGGAAGGAAAUCUUCUGGGCUAAUACCCCGGGAGGACGUGACGGUACCGUGAAGAAUAAGCACCGGCUAACUACGUGCCAGCAGCCGACC
rnacentral:rRNA from 1 species